AUGGAUCUUGGGCGUCUUAACUAUGGGAUCAUUACCCUCAUCCCCAAGGUCCCGGGCGCCUCCGACAUCCGCCAGUUUCAUCCCAUCACAGUGAUUAAUGUGAUAUUCCAGAUCCUGGCCAAAGGGUACGCCAAUAGGGUGACCCUGCUCGCUGACGCGAUUACCCACCCGAACCAAUCCGCCUUCAUACAAGGCCGAUUUAUUCUGGAUGGGGUGCUGGUAUUCCACGAAGUCCUCCACGAAGUCCGGGUGAAACACCAUCGGGCAGUCUUCCUGAAGCUAGACUUCCACAAAGCGUACGACACGGUCCACUGGCCCUUCUUGCAGGAAGUGCUGCUCCGCAAGGGCAUUGACGACUGUUGGGUGACCCGAGUCAUGCAACUUGUCUCCUGCGGCUGGACCGCUGUGAACAUUAAUGGUGACAUUGGGCCCUACUUCCCCACCCUUUGUGGGGUCUGUCAGGGUGACCCGUUCUCGCCGUUCCUGUUCAACAUGGUGGUUGAUGCCCUAGCCUCCAUCCUUGACAAGGCCAAGGAUGCCGGCCAUAUCCGCGGCAUCAUUCCCCACCUAGUCUGA
rnacentral:rRNA from 1 species